rnacentral:rRNA from 1 species
GCGGCGUGCUUACACAUGCAAGUCGAACGAUGAAGCCCAGCUUGCUGGGUGGAUUAGUGGCGAACGGGUGAGUAACACGUGAGCAACCUGCCCCUGACUCUGGGAUAACAGCCGGAAACGGUUGCUAAUACCGGAUAUGCAUCAUGGCCGCAUGGUCUGUGAUGGGAAAGAUUUUUCGGUUGGGGAUGGGCUCGCGGCCUAUCAGCUUGUUGGUGAGGUAGUGGCUCACCAAGGCGUCGACGGGUAGCCGGCCUGAGAGGGUGACCGGCCACACUGGGACUGAGACACGGCCCAGACUCCUACGGGAGGCAGCAGUGGGGAAUAUUGCACAAUGGGCGGAAGCCUGAUGCAGCAACGCCGCGUGAGGGACGACGGCCUUCGGGUUGUAAACCUCUUUUAGCAGGGAAGAAGCGAAAGUGACGGUACCUGCAGAAAAAGCGCCGGCUAACUACGUGCCAGCAGCCGCGGUAAUACGUAGGGCGCAAGCGUUAUCCGGAAUUAUUGGGCGUAAAGAGCUCGUAGGCGGUUUGUCGCGUCUGCUGUGAAAACCCGAGGCUCAACCUCGGGCCUGCAGUGGGUACGGGCAGACUAGAGUGCGGUAGGGGAGAUUGGAAUUCCUGGUGUAGCGGUGGAAUGCGCAGAUAUCAGGAGGAACACCGAUGGCGAAGGCAGAUCUCUGGGCCGUUACUGACGCUGAGGAGCGAAAGGGUGGGGAGCAAACAGGCUUAGAUACCCUGGUAGUCCACCCCGUAAACGUUGGGAACUAGUUGUGGGGGCCUUUCCACGGUCUCCGUGACGCAGCUAACGCAUUAAGUUCCCCGCCUGGGGAGUACGGCCGCAAGGCUAAAACUCAAAGGAAUUGACGGGGACCCGCAC